UCCACUCCUUGGGGAUCCGUGGCUGGCUGGCGGGCUGUUCACCCCCACCCCGAAACUUAGGAGACCCACCCAUUUCCCACAUUGCUCCUUCCCAGAGGAAGGUGUUGUGUUCCCCCUCUCGCCUUCCCCGCUUUGCCACCACCCUGGUGAGUGCAGGGUGUGUGCGCUCCUGGGUAGAGCUGGGAGCCGCCUGCUCGCUGGCGCUUCGUAUUUUCCUUGGCAACCCGCUUGCCAGCCCCAACCUGGGCUGCUGCAGCUCUGGAGGCUCGAAGGCAGGGGGUAGAUACUUGGUUUGGGUUUGAAAAGGCGGGAGCGGUCUUGGAUGGUCUAGCCUGGCCUGACAGGCACUCGGAGGCCCAGGUGUCUGGAAAUCUGGAGAGAGGGGGCAGGGGUAACCAGCAGUUGAUAAAGAGCCCUUGUUCUCACCUUCAACCCUGCCCUUCCCCCCCCAAAUCCAGCCCCAGAGGGGAUCCCUCCAAGUUCUGCUUUUAACUUUUUGGUAGUCCCAGCAGCACCUCUUCCUCCAGUUUUCCCAGACUGGUGCCCGAGAGUGGGGAGGGUGAGCCGGCUGUCACCCAACUCUGACCCAAGCCAGGCUGACUCACCCAGCGACUAGAGCAAUGGAGAGAGAGAUGUGAGGCGGGCUGGCCGGGGUGUCUCCAGCCAACCCUGUGAAGAGGAAGAGCAAAAACAGGGAAUUCGAUUGAAACUUAAACUGUUGAGAGCAAGGGGGGGCAAGGGCCAGCAAAGCCAGCUGAUCUGACAGGGCGCCACACACCUAGGAGAUUAAGUAAAUAUGUACUGUAGAAAACCAAACCUGCAUGUAAUUCCAGGUUGCUUUUGUUUUGUUAAAUACUGCCCUGAGAUUUACAAUUCCUCCGGGGUGGCGCAGACUGGGACUGAACUUUGGAGCCUCAGCUAUCAACCAAAGCUGAUCGCCCAUUAACUCUUCCUGCACCGGCCGGCAGGGGCCUGUCCUGGCCGAGCUCGCUGGGGUCAGCUGUCCGGGUCUCCUGCUUCUCCUUGGGUGGUUUGGACAGCUGCUUGACCUUGCAGUUGGAAGGGGGAGUUCGGAAGUGUUUUUAACCCUUGGACACAUGGAAAAGGGAGAAGUAACAGUUGUUCUCAGCAGUUUCAUUUCCUUGGGGUGAUGCCCCCAUUGAAGGGCUCCCAAAGCCCCGUGUGGAAGGGAACCAGGAUGGCGGGUGAGGGUUUCCUUGCAGGGGGAUGUGGGGUUUGGGACAAUUGCAUGGGGUUUGGGACAAUCGCGUGUGAUUGUCAUUCCUUAGCUGUCUGCAUCCCACAGAAACUUUCUGCUGACUCUUCCAGCUGGCCCAAGUCCUGGGUCUCUUACUGCUCUUGUAACUGGCUGCAGUAGGCAUAUGAAGAACGCCUUUAGUCAAUCAGGAAAAACUUGACUGACCAUAAACAAGCCUAAAUGGAAAGAAGUGUAUGGCUUUGGGGGAGGAGGGUAGAAGAGUACAGAGUGGGCCCUGCAAGUUCACGCACUGGGAGCCACGCCCCACUUCACUUGGAAUGGACCAGCUCUUCCAGGGAAUAAACCCAAGCCAAUUAGAAAUAUGUCUUAAAUUGAUUAUCAGGUCACCAGAAACAGCAUCCAUGGGGCCUAUGAAACUUCCGAUGCCAUUCUCCCUAGGUUCAGUCAUCGGACCAGUCAGGAUGCCCAGAGCCCUCCCUGGAACUUAUAAUCAUCUGACCAAUUACUAGAGCUACUUUUUAAUGAGCUGUCUGCUUGCUUUCAUGGUGGGGAAUUUGGAAUCCAGGCUUUUUGCCUGAGUCCAUCUGGGGCCAGUGAGAGGGCCUUGGGACAACCUCCGGACCUAGGAGUGUUUGGAGGUCCAAUGGGCUUGGGGACGAAGGGCCAAGUGUGGUGGAGUGGGGAAUUUACAAGAGACAGCUGAGUGGGUUGUGUGCAUGGUGGACUUGGGGUGGUCCUGAAGCAGCUGGAGAGCUGGAGAGGCCCCGGCCGCCAAGCAGCCUGCAGUGAUGUGAGACAGGCAACAGAGUUGAACCAUGUAGGACACUCCGCCCUUUGGUCGAAGUAGAAGCUGCAUCUGAGCCCUUCCAGCCUGGACUGGGGUGGUAUUGGACCUGGAGGGGAAAGCCCCCCCAAAAGAGAAAGAAAGGAGGGAGACCUGAGUCUCUGCAAACAGCUGGUACGUCCAGGCAAGGUCUGUUUACUUCGGGGGAGGGAGCAGUGACAAUCCAGCUUUGCCUAAUGACCUUGAGUCAAACAGGAUUUGGCAAUAUUUGUGGGCAGUAGUGUGCCUUAGGCUGCAAAGGUGACCCAAGUGAGGGUUUUUCUUAAAGGGACACAAAGGCUCCAGGAAUUAGAAAGUUCCUCACCUGGACACAGCUCUCCUCCCCCACCAUGUACUGAGGUUGCCAAGGCAGGGCCAGUCAUGCUUAGGGUCUCCAAGGGGAAUGCUUUUGCUGGGCUAUUGCCUGCUCCACUCCUUUUUUUAGUUUCUGUGUCCUCCUGGAAUUCUUCCCCGAAAGCAUUCAUAAAGCUCGGGCCCAUCCCUCUUUCCUCUAGGCUCUGGGCUAGCUAGCCAGCUGGCCCAGCCUCCAGUCUUUGACCUUGACGUGGUUUUUGCAGGCGCCCUCGGGAGGAGGAGAUGUGGACUGUUUGUUUGUGUGUAUUUGCAGUGGCUGUUCCAGACUUUGGUCCAGUAUGAGGAAGUGGCGGGACAGGAGCCCUGGGCCAUGAUUGCAGGCAGGGGCCACAUUCCACGGCCGACCCAAUCCCUCCACCAAGGAGGGGUAGAGCCAGGACUCGGGGACCCGUUUCAUGGAGAUUCCACUUAAUGAAAAAGAAGCAACUCAGUUGGGAAAUGUGGCCUGGGUGGGUACUGACGAUACAGCAGUGAGCAAAGCAGACAAACAUCCCCACUGUGUAAAGCCAGCAGUUCAGCGGGACAGGCAGAUGGAUAGUAAACAAGAUACGUAAAUAGAUGGUACGCUAGAUCACAGUGAGUGUGAAGGAGAAAACAAAUGAGGUAAAGCAGACAGAAGGGGCCACGGCGGGAAAGGAGGGAGCAGCGUUCCAGACAGAGGGAAGAUGAAGGGCUCUGAGGUGAGAAUGUGCCUGGGGUGUUUGGGGAGC